UUCUCUUCUAAGCUACGUUUAGAUUUUUCGUACGAUGAACGGUCGAUACUUGUCUGAUGUUCGAUUUAAAUUUUCAAUCAGCCUUGAACAUUCCUUGAUGCACACGAGAAGAGGAUUUCUCUCUCUCUCUCUCUCUGUCUUUCUCACGCGAAACGAGGCUGGAAGCGUCGAUAAGAUUCAUGCAUAAAAACGAAUCUGGUUUACGAGAAUGCUCGUCGUCUAGAACACGAUUAUUAAAACGUGCCGUGCCGCCAGCUCGUAGACCCCAACGAAGGAAACCUCACGGUUCCCGGCCUUCUUGGAACUUUAAAUUAAAACCGCUCUCGUUGUUUUGCGAUCGGUAAAGGAUCCCGAUCGGUGCUGGAGGAGUUGAGAGCGUUCCGGUGUCGUUCGCAAUCGGGGGCAUAAAGUGUCCGCAUAAAGCAAAGUCCGGCGUAGACGCCGAACCAUCCAGGUCUAUGCAUUCUCCCAUGUUGAAAAUUCAUCGUCAACCGUGCUGUUGCUACGGGUUUGUACGAAUCUAAAUACCUGAUCCAACUUCUAUAAUGCAAUUUCAAUGUCGGUAGUCGAUUACAGAACGCUAUAAACGCGUAUCUCCGGUAAACCCGCUAAUUGAUAACGUAUCUAACGUUUUACAAUCACGAUAGCUAAAGAUAUUUAUUAUCGAUGAAAACGUAGAAAUAUCUUUGAUAUCGAUCUUCCUUUUACAGUCAGAUCUGUACGUAUGAUUAUAAUUCCAUAUAACUUUUUUACAUGAAACUUUAUUUAUCGUAAAAUAUAUAUUACAUAUAUCGAUAUUUGUAUUAAUUUUGGAUCAAAGUUUAGAGCGAAUUAAGAAUUCAAUUUUCCCUAUUGAAAAUUAACUUGAUAAUUGGUUUAUUUCGAUAAGUUUUUUCAAUUUUAUUCUUAAUAUUCAAUUCUUUUAAAACCUGGUUUCGAAAAGGCAAUGUGAAAUAUUCGGACCCGUUCCUGUUCACCAGGAAGAAUCUUAUCAAGUGGACAAACGGCGUGCGGCCCUGCAGGGUUUUAAUUCGAAUAAAUCCAAGUUGACGAGGAGGCGGCCUUUUAAAAUUCCAAUGAUAACGGACCGGAUCUACGGAGCUCGUCAACGACGUAACGUCUACCAUAUUAUCUUUCUCCAUCCUCCAUAUUUUUUUAAAUCGCUCCUCUGAAUUAUUGGUAUCGUGUUUGAAUACGAAACAAUAACCAAAUAAAAUUUUCGAUACGAUAAGAAAUUUAAAAUCUAUUCUCUUUUCUGUAGAUUUUCAUUAUUUCAACAUUUCAUUUGUAUCUUCAAUGAAUCGAAUAAAUAGAUAAUUCGAAAGAUAUUCGAAAGAUUCGUCAAUAUUUAAAUUAAUAUUUUUAUAUUGAAAAAUAACUAAUUUUGUCUAAUUCAUCCUUUGUAAUAUUGCAAAUUUUUUACAAUUAAUCAAUAAUUUGUAACAAGAAAAAAUAACGUAAAUUGAAGAUAAAUUAGAUUAAAUAGAUUAAAAUUGAAUAUGUGCAAUAUAUAAUAAAUCACCCUAUAUAUUUAUAUAAAAGUAUUAUAAUUUUUUAUACAAAUCAGUUAGUUGUAUAACAUACAAAUAAUAUAUAUAUAUAUAUUGUGUACAAUACAAGUAAUACUAAAAAACACUAGCAUAACUAACCUAGUAAAUAUUUAUGUAAAAUUAAAACAAAAUAUAUUGAAUACGGAAAAAUAACUCACCACUUGUGUAUUGUUGAACGAACAAUUGAAACUUUUUUGUUAUUAGUUUCAUUUUUUACGGAAACAAAUAAACGAUUAUUCAUUUUAA